rnacentral:sRNA from 1 species
UGCUGAGCUCCCCUUCCCUGAGGCCCCGACGUGUGUGCUGCGCUCCUCGGCUCCUGGGGCUUCUGUGGCUGAGGGGCUGCAUCUGCCUCAGCCUGGCUGUGACCCGCUCAGCCGUGCUUCCCCUCUUUCAGCCGGUGGCUGCUGGCAGUGGAAUCCCCCAGAUCAAGUGCUUCCUCAACGGGGUGAAGAUCCCCCACGUGGUGCGGCUCAAGACGUUGGUGAUCAAAGUGUCCGGUGUGAUCCUGUCCGUGGUCGGGGGCCUGGCUGUGGGAAAGGAAGGGCCGAUGAUCCACUCAGGUUCAGUGAUCGCCGCUGGGAUCUCUCAGGGAAGGUCAACGUCACUGAAGCGAGAUUUCAAGAUCUUCGAGUACUUCCGCAGAGACACAGAGAAGCGGGACUUCGUCUCCGCAGGGGCUGCGGCCGGAGUGUCAGCGGCGUUUGGAGCCCCCGUGGGUGGGGUCCUGUUCAGCCUGGAGGAGGGUGCGUCCUUCUGGAACCAGUUCCUGACCUGGAGGAUCGUAAGUUCCUGCUGAUGGCUGCCUCCCCAUCAGGGUGCUUGCUGCGCUCAUUUCCCACCAUGUGGUCCGCCUUGGGGCCACCCAUCGAACUGCGGCUGGAGCUGGACCCUGCGUGGGUCUGUCAGGCCUUGGCCCUGCCCAAAGCAGCGGUCAUGCCUUUGCUGCCCAGUUCGCCCUUGGUCCUGGGCACCAUUGUCAGCCCUGGGUGGCUCCCAGGUAGGGGAUCAAACAGCCGGG